rnacentral:lncRNA from 1 species
CAAAGAACUUUAAUGCCGCUCAGAAUGAGGCCACCCAGUAGUUAGGUGUGAAUUUUCGAGACCUCUGGCACCGUUCUAAGAUGGGUCCUCUCUUCGUAGGUUAAUGCGUUGGCCCUUUUUGACCCGUUUUGGAACGAAAACAAAAACUGACUCCGCGGCAUAUUUUUUUCGGCCUUUAUGGGCAAAGAACUUUAAUGCCGCUCAGAAUGAGGCCACCCAGUAGUUAGGUGUGAAUUUUCGAGACCUCUGGCACCGUUCUAAGAUGGGUCCUCUCUUCGUAGGCUAAUGCGUUGGCCCUUUUUGACCCGUUUUGGGGCGAAAACAAAAACUGACUCCGGGCAUAUUUUUUUCGGCCUUUAUGGGCAAAGAACUUUAAUGCCGCUCAGAAUGAGGCCACCCAGUAGUUAGGUGUGAAUUUUCGAGACCUCUGGCACCGUUCUAUGAUGGGUCCUCUCUUCGUAGGCUAAUGCAUUGGCCCGUUUUGGGGCCAAAACAAAAACUGACUCCCGGCAUACUUUUUUCGGCCUUUAUGGGCAAGAACUUUAAUGCCGCUCAGAAUGAGGCCACCAGUAGUUAGGUGUGAAUUUUCGAGACCUCUGGCACCGUUCUAAGAUGGGUCCUCUCUUCGUAGGCUAAUGCAUUGGCCCUUUUCGACCCGUUUUGGGGCGAAAACAAAAACUGACUCCCGGGCAUAUUUUUUUCGGCCUUUAUGGGCAAAGAACUUUAAUGCCGCUCAGAAUGAGGCCACCCAGUAGUUAGGUGUGAAUUUUCGAGACCUCUGGCACCGUUCUAAGAUGGGUCCUCUCUUUCUAGGCUAAUGCAUUGGCCCUUUUCGACCCGUUUUUGGGCGAAAACAAAAACUGACUCCCGGGCAUAUCUUUUUCGGCCUUGAUGGGCAAAGAACUUUAAUGCCGCUCAGAAUGAGGCCACCCAGUAGUUAGGUGUGAAUUUUCGAGACCUCUGGCACCGUUCUAAGAUGGGUCCUCUCUUCGUAGGCUAAUGCGUUGGCCUUUUUGACCCGUUUUGGAACGAAAACAAAAACUGACUCCCGGCAUAUUUUUUUUCGGCUUUAUGGGCAAAGAACUUUAAUGCCGCUCAGAAUGAGGCACCCAGUAGUUAGGUGUGAAUUUUCGAGACCUCUGGCACCGUUCUAAGAUGGGUCCUCUCUUCGUAGGCUAAUGCGUUGGCCCUUUUUGACCCGUUUUGGGGCGAAAACAAAAACUGACUCCCGGGCAUAUUUUUUUCGGCCUUUAUGGGCAAAGAACUUUAAUGCGCUCAGAAUGAGGCCACCCAAUAGUUAGGUGUGAAUUUUCGAGACCUCUGGCACCGUUCUAAGAUGGGUCUCUUCUUCGUAGGCUAAUGCAUUGGCCCUUUUCGACCCGUUUUGGGGCGAAAACAAAAACUGACUCCCGGGCAUAUUUUUUUCGGCCUUUAUGGGCAAAGAACUUUAAUGGCGCUCAGAAUGAGGCCACCCAGUAGUUAGGUGUGAAUUUUCGAGACCUCUGGCACCGUUCUAAGAUGGGUCCUCUCUUCGUAGGCUAAUGCAUUGGCCCUUUUCGACCCGUUUUGGGGCGAAAACAAAAACUGACUCCGGGCAUAUUUUUUUCGGCCUUUAUGGGCAAAGAACUUUAAUGCCGCUCAGAAUGAGGCCACCAGUAGUUAGGUGUGAAUUUUCGAGACCUCUGGCACCGUUCUAAGAUGGGUCCUCUCUUUGUAGGCUAAUGCAUUGGCUCCUUUCGACCCGUUUUGGGGCGAAAACAAAACCUGACUCCCGGGCAUAUUUUUUUCGGC